rnacentral:rRNA from 1 species
GGAGGGUGCAAGCGUUGUUCGGAAUUACUGGGCGUAAAGAGCGUGUAGGCGGUUUGGCAAGUCAGAUGUGAAAGCCCUGGGCUCAACCCAGGAAGUGCAUUUGAAACUGCCAUUCUAGAGUAUGGGAGAGGAGAGUGGAAUUCCCGGUGUAGAGGUGAAAUUCGUAGAUAUUGGGAGGAACACCCGUGGCGAAGGCGACUCUCUGGACCAAUACUGACGCUGAGACGCGAAAGCGUGGGGAGCAAACAGGAUUAGAUACCCUGGUAGUCCACGCCGUAAACGAUGAGAACUAGGUGUAGCGGGUAUUGACCCCCUGCUGUGCCGUAGCUAACGCAUUAAGUUCUCCGCCUGGGAGUACGGUCGCAAGGCUA